GAGGUGUAAGACCUCGGCUGACGGCUCAGUAACACGCGGAUAAUCUGCCCUCGAGCGGGGGAUAAUCUCGGGAAACUGAGAAUAAUACCCCAUAGGCCCGGGAAGCUGGAAUGCUCCCAGGCUGAAAUUUCCGGAGCUCGAGGAUGAGUCUGCGGCCUAUCAGGCUGUAGUGGGUGUAACGGACCCACUAACCUUCGACGGGUACGGGCCUUGAGAGAGGUUGCCCGGAGAUGGAUUCUGAGACACGAAUCCAGGUCCUACGGGGCGCAGCAGGCGCGAAAACUUCGCAAUGUGGGAAACCACGACGAGGGAAUCCCAAGUGCCAACGAUUUUUCGUUGGCUGUUGCCCUGUCUAAAAAACAGGGAGAGUAAGGGCUGGGUAAGACGGGUGCCAGCCGCCGCGGUAACACCGGCGGCUCGAGUGGUAACCGUUAUUAUUGGGUCUAAAGGGUCUGUAGCCGGCCGGAUAAGUCUCUUGGGAAAUCUGGCAGCUUAACUGUCAGGCUUUCAGGGGAUACUGUCUGGCUCGAGGCCGGGAGAGGUGAGAGGUACUUCAGGGGUAGGGGUGAAAUCUUGUAAUCCUUGAAGGACCACCAGUGGCGAAGGCGUCUCACCAGAACGGACCUGACGGCAAGGGACGAAAGCUAGGGGCACGAACCGGAUUAGAUACCCGGGUAGUCCUAGCCGUAAACGAUACUCGCUAGGUGUCGGCAACGGUGCGACCGUUGUCGGUGCCGUAGGGAAGCCGUGAAGCGAGCCACCUGGGGAAGUACGGCCGCAAGGCUGAAACUUAAAAGGAAUUGGCGGGGGGAGCACCACAA
rnacentral:rRNA from 1 species